UACGUAGGUGGCAAGCGUUGUCCGGAUUUACUGGGCGUAAAGAGCGCGCAGGCGGUCGAUCAAGUCGAGUGUGAAAGCCCCCGGCUCAACUGGGGAGGGUCAUUCGAUACUGAUCGACUCGAAGGCAGGAGAGGGUAGUGGAAUUCCCGGUGUAGUGGUGAAAUGCGUAGAUAUCGGGAGGAACACCAGUGGCGAAGGCGACUACCCGGCCUGUUCUUGACGCUGAGGCGCGAAAGCUAGGGGAGCAAACGGG
rnacentral:rRNA from 1 species